rnacentral:ncRNA from 2 species
ACCAUUGAUAAACGCCGAGCUUAAUGACCUAAGGUCAUCCCGAUUAUGGAAUUAAGCCAAUGGGUUUUUUUGGAAACGAAAAUGCCUCCCGGAUUUGGAAAGGUGUUUUAUGUUGGUUGAA